UACGUAGGGGGCAAGCGUUGUCCGGAUUUAUUGGGCGUAAAGAGCGUGUAGGCGGCCUUACAGGUCAGCUGUGAAAACUCGAGGCUCAACCUCGAGACGUCGGUUGAAACCGUAAGGCUAGAGUCCGGAAGAGGAGAGUGGAAUUCCCGGUGUAGCGGUGAAAUGCGCAGAUAUCGGGAAGAACACCCGUGGCGAAGGCGGCUCUCUGGGACGCUACUGACGCUGAGACGCGAAAGCGUGGGGAGCGAACAGG
rnacentral:rRNA from 1 species